GGGCAGGUAGUUCAGCUGGUUAGAACAUCGCUCUGAUAAAGCGGAGGUCGCUGGUUCGAGUCCAGCCCUGCCCACCA
rnacentral:tRNA from 1 species